GCCUCCGUAGCUCAAUGGAAGAGCAGUCGCGUCCUAAGCGAAGGGUUGGGGGUUCGAGUCCCUCCGGGGGCAC
rnacentral:tRNA from 1 species